GACGAACGCUGGCGGCGUGCUUAACACAUGCAAGUCGAACGGAAAGGCCCUGCUUUUGUGGGGUGCUCGAGUGGCGAAAGUGUGAGUAACACGUGAGUAACCUGCCCUUGACUUUGGGAUAACUUCAGGAAACUGGGGGUAAUACCGGAUAGGAGCUCCUGCUGCAUGGUGGGGGUUGGAAAGUUUCGGCGGUUGGGGAUGGACUCGCGGCUUAUCAGCUUGUUGGUGGGGUAGUGGCUUACCAAGGCUCUGACGGGUAGCCGGCCUGAGAGGGUGACCGGCCACAUUGGGACUGAGAUACGGCCCAGACUCCUACGGGAGGCAGCAGUGGGGAAGAUUGCACAAGGGGCGGAAGCCUGAUGCAGCAACGCCGCGUGCGGGAUGACGGCCUUCGGGUUGUAAACCGCUUUCGCCUGUGACGAAGCGUGAGUGACGGUAAUGGGUAAAGAAGCACCGGGUAACUACGUG
rnacentral:rRNA from 1 species